rnacentral:tRNA from 1 species
GCCUGUGUGGCUCAGUUGGUUAAGCAUCUGACUUCAACUCAGGUCAUAAUCUCAUUGUUCAUGGGUUCAAGCCCCACGUCGGGCU